AUUUUAUAUAUGUGUAAACUAAUCGGACACAACAUCCCGUCCAUAAUAUGAGGUCCUUCAGCGGUGUCAUAGGUUCAACAUGUUUACACAUCAUUUGAAUUUAACACUUUUUUUU
rnacentral:sRNA from 1 species